UACGGAGGGUGCAAGCGUUAUCCGGAUUCACUGGGUUUAAAGGGAGCGUAGGAGGGCAGGUAAGUCAGUGGUGAAAUCUUUGGGCUUAACCCGAAAACUGCCAUUGAUACUAUCUGUCUUGAAUAUUGUGGAGGUGAGCGGAAUAUGUCAUGUAGCGGUGAAAUGCUUAGAUAUGACAUAGAACACCGAUUGCGAAGGCAGCUCGCUACACAUAUAUUGACUCUGAGGCUCGAAAGCGUGGGGAUCAAACAGG
rnacentral:rRNA from 1 species